rnacentral:rRNA from 1 species
ACCGUAAACAAUUAAUUUACACCAAUCAGCGCCAGGGAAUUACGAGCAAUGCUUAAAACCCAAAGGACUUGACGGUGUCCCACCCAACUAGAGGAGCCUGUUCUAUAAUCGAUAAUCCCCGCUACACCCGACCAUUUCUUGCUUUCAGUCUGUAUACCUCCGUCGAAAGCUUACCAUGUGAACGCCUACAGUAAGCCCAAUGAUUUACACAUCAACACGUCAGGUCAAGGUGCAGCUUAAGAAGUGGGAAGCAAUGGGCUACAAUUUCUAAUUUAGAACAAACGAAAGAUUAUGUGAAAUCAUAUUCUGAAGGUGGAUUUAGCAGUAAAAAGAAAAUAGAGUGUUCUUUUUAACCCGGCUCUGGGACGCGUACACACCGCCCGUCACCCUCUUCGAUAGUAAAAUACUCUGUUCCUAACUCACUAUUACGCCUUAGAAGAAGCAAGUCGUAACAUGGUAAGUGUACUGGAAAGUGCACUUGGUAUA